GUGUGUGUAUGAGAAAGCGUGCGUGUGUUUGUGUGAGAGAAAGUGUGCGUGUGUUUGUAUGAGAGAAAGUGUGUGUAUGAGAGAAAGCGUGCGUGUGUUUGUAUGAGAGAAAGCGUGCGUGUGUUUGUAUGAGAGAAAGCGUGCGUGUGUUUGUGUGAGAGAAAGUGUGUGUAUGAGAGAAAAUGUGCGUGUGUUUGUAUGAGAGAAAGCGUGCGUGUGUUUGUGUGAGAGAAAGCGUGCGUGUGUUUCGUCGAGAGAAAGCGUGCGUGUGUUUGUGUGAGAGAAAGCGUGCAUGUGUUUGUAUGAUAGAAAGCGUGCGUGUGUUUGUGUGAGAGAAAGCGUGCAUGUGUUUGUAUGAUAGAAAGCGUGCGUGUGUUUGUGUGAGAGAAAGCGUGCGUGUGUUUGUGUGAGAGAAAGCGUGCGUAUGUUUGUGUGAGAGAAAGUGUGUGUAUGAGAGAAAGCGUGCGUGUGUUUGUACGAGAGAAAGCGUGCGUGUGUUUGUGUGAGAGAAAGCGUGCGUGUGUUUGUGUGAGAGAAAGCGUGCGUGUGUUUGUAUGAGAGAAAGCGUGCGUGUGUGUGUGUGAGAGAAAGUGUGCGUGUGUUUGUAUGAGAGAAAGCGUGCGUGUGUUUGUGUGAGAGAAAGUGUGUGUAUGAGAGAAAGCGUGCGUGUGUUUGUAUGAGAGAAAGCGUGCGUGUGUUUGUGUGAGAGAAAGCGUGCGUGUGUUUGUAUGAGAGAAAGCGUGCGUGUGUUUGUGUGAGAGAAAGCGUGCGUGUGUUUGUGUGAGAGAAAGCGUGCGUGUGUUUGUAUGAGAGAAAGUGUGUGUAUGAGAGAAAGCGUGC
ensembl:lncRNA